UGCUACUGCUGACCAAAAGCAACUAUGGA
rnacentral:piRNA from 1 species